UGGGGGAUAUUGCACAAUGGGCGCAAGCCUGAUGCAGCGACGCCGCGUGGGGGAUGAAGGCCUUCGGGUUGUAAACUUCUUUUGCUCUGAACAAGGCGCACUUUGGGGUGUGUUGAGUGUAGGGGUUGAUUAGCGCCGGCUAACUACGUGCCAGCAGCCGCGGUAAUACGUAGGGCGCGAGCGUUGUCCGGCAUUAUUGGGCGUAAAGGGCUUGUAGGUGGCUGGUUGCGUCUGUCGUGAAAGCUCAUGGCUUAACUGUGGGUUUGCGGGGGGUACGGGCUGGCUUGAGUGCAGUAGGGGAGGCUGGAAUUCCUGGUGUAGCGGUGGAAUGCGCAGAUAUCAGGAGGAAUACCGGUGGCGAAGGCGGGUCUCUGGGCUGUUACUGACACUGAGGAGCGAAAGCAUGGGGAGCGAACAGG
rnacentral:rRNA from 1 species